GACAGAGGCCUCGAGCGUUAGGCGGAAUCACUGGGCUUAAAGCGUGUGUAGGCGGAUCGUUAAGUACCUUGUGAAAUCCCACGGCUCACCCGUGGAACUGCUGGGCAUACUGGCGAUCUUGGGCCAACUAGGGGCAGUCGGAACAAGCGGUGGAGCGGUGAAAUGCGUAGAUAUCGCUUGGAACGCCGAAGGUGAAAACAGACUGCUGGGGUUGCGCCGACGCUGAGACACGAAAGCCAGGGGAGCAAACGGG
rnacentral:rRNA from 1 species